rnacentral:rRNA from 1 species
GGAACGAACGCUGGCGGCAUGCCUAAUACAUGCAAGUCGAACGAAGGCUUCGGCCUUAGUGGCGCACGGGUGCGUAACGCGUGGGAAUCUGCCCCUUGGUUCGGAAUAACAGUUGGAAACGACUGCUAAUACCGGAUGAUGACGAAAGUCCAAAGAUUUAUCGCCAAGGGAUGAGCCCGCGUAGGAUUAGCUAGUUGGUGAGGUAAAGGCUCACCAAGGCGACGAUCCUUAAGCUGGUCUGAGAGGAUGAUCAGCCACACUGGACUGAGACACGGCCCAGACUCCUACGGGAGGCAGCAGUAGGGAAUAUUGGACAAUGGGCGAAAGCCUGAUCCAGCAAUGCCGCGUGAGUGACUAGAAGGCCUUAGGGUAGUAAAGCUCUUUUACCGAGAUGAUAAAUGACAGUAUCGGAGAAUAAGGCCCCCGGACUAACCGUACCGUGUCCAGCAGCCCG